rnacentral:rRNA from 1 species
AACGAACGCUGGCGGCAGGCCUAACACAUGCAAGUCGAGCGAGGACUUCGGUUCUAGCGGCGGACGGGUGAGUAACGCGUGGGAAUGUGCCCUUCUCUACGGAAUAGCCCUGGGAAACUGGGAGUAAUACCGUAUACGCCCUUUUGGGGAAAGAUUUAUCGGAGAAGGAUCAGCCCGCGUUGGAUUAGGUAGUUGGUGGGGUAAUGGCCUACCAAGCCGACGAUCCAUAGCUGGUUUGAGAGGAUGAUCAGCCACACUGGGACUGAGACACGGCCCAGACUCCGACGGGAGGCAGCAGUGGGGAAUCUUAGACAAUGGGGGCAACCCUGAUCUAGCCAUGCCGCGUGAGUGAUGAAGGCCUUAGGGUUGUAAAGCUCUUUCAGCUGGGAAGAUAAUGACGGUACCAGCAGAAGAAGCCCCGGCUAACUCCGUG